rnacentral:rRNA from 1 species
ACAGCAGCAGCCGCGGUAAUACGUAGGGUCCGAGCGUUGUCCGGAAUUAUUGGGCGUAAAGAGCUCGUAGGCGGUCUGUCGCGUCUGGUGUGAAAUCCCGAGGCUCAACCUCGGGCUUGCAUCGGGUACGGGCAGACUAGAGUGCGGUAGGGGAGACUGGAAUUCCUGGUGUAGCGGUGGAAUGCGCAGAUAUCAGGAGGAACACCGAUGGCGAAGGCAGGUCUCUGGGCCGCAACUGACGCUGAGGAGCGAAAGCAUGGGGAGCGAACAGGAUUAGAUACCCCCGUAGUCCCUGUCUCUUAUAC